CCCUGGUGGCUCAGACAGUAAAGAAUCUGCCUGCAGUGCAGGAGACCCAGGUUCGAUCCCUGGAUCAGGAA
rnacentral:tRNA from 1 species